UACGUAGGGUCCGAGCGUUGUCCGGAAUUAUUGGGCGUAAAGAGCUUGUAGGCGGUUUGUCGCGUCUGCUGUGAAAUUUCGGGGCUCAACCCCGAACUUGCAGUGGGUACGGGCAGACUAGAGUGUGGUAGGGGAGACUGGAAUUCCUGGUGUAGCGGUGAAAUGCGCAGAUAUCAGGAAGAACACCAAUGGCGAAGGCAGCUCUCUGGGACGGUACUGACGCUGAGACGCGAAAGCGUGGGGAGCGAACAGG
rnacentral:rRNA from 1 species